GACGAACGCUGGCGGCGCGCUUAACACAUGCAAGUCGAGCGAGAACCAGGGCUUCGGCCCUGGGGACAGCGGCGAACGGGUGAGUAACACGUGGGUAAUCUGCCCUCGGCACCGGAAUAGCCCGGGGAAACCCGGAUUAAUGCCGGAUGGCCCCUUCCCCUCGCGAGGUGUCGGGAAAAGGUAGCUUCGGCCUCUGGCCGAGGAUGACCCCGCGGCGGAUUAGCUUGUUGGCGGGGUAACGGCCCACCAAGGCGACGAUCCGUAGCUGGUCUGAGAGGACGAUCAGCCACACUGGGACUGAGACACGGCCCAGACUCCUACGGGAGGCAGCAGUGGGGAAUCUUGCGCAAUGGGCGAAAGCCUGACGCAGCGACGCCGCGUGAGGGAAGAAGGCCUUCGGGUUGUAAACCUCUUUCAGGAGGGACGAAGCUACUCGGGUGAAUAGCCCAGAGGGUGACGGUACCUCCAGAAGGAGCCCCGGCUAACUACGUGCCAGCCGCCGCGGUAA
rnacentral:rRNA from 1 species